rnacentral:rRNA from 1 species
GACGAACGCUGGCGGCGUGCUUAACACAUGCAAGUCGAACGGAAAGGCCUGCUUUCCCUUGUGGAUUGCGGGUACGCGAGUGGCGAACGGGUGAGUAACACGUGAGUGAUAUGCCCCCAACUUGGGUAUAAGCCUGGGAAACUGGGUCUAAUUACCGAUAGGACUGCAGGGUGGUGCCGGUGGUGGAAAACGAUUGUCUAGUGGUUGGGGAUGAGCUCGCGGCCUAUCAGCUUGUUGGUGGGGUAAUGGCCUACCAGGGCGGCGACGGGUAGCCGGCCUGGGGUGGUGGACGGCCGCAGGUGGACUGCGACACUGCCCCGACUCCUACGGGAGGCAGCCGUGGGGAGGCAUGCGCGAUGGGCGGAGGCCUGAGGCAGCGACGCCGCGUGGGGGACGACGGCCUUCGGGUGGUAACCUCCUUUCGGCCGCGAGGAAGCCACCUGGUUGGAAGGGUGGUGACGGUAGUGGUAGAAGAAGCACCGGCUAACUACGUG